rnacentral:tRNA from 1 species
GCGAAAGUGGCGGAAUUGGCAGACGCACUAGACUUAGAAUCUAGCACCGCAGGGUAUGGGGGUUCAACUCCCCCCUUUCGCA